rnacentral:rRNA from 1 species
GAAAGUAAACAAGGGCGCAUGGAGGAUGCCUAGGCUCUCGGAGGCGAAGAAGGACGUGAUAAGCUGCGAAAAGUUACGGUAAGGCGCAAAUAGCCCUAGACCCGUAAAUAUCCGAAUGGGGCAACCCGGCCAGCAAUGGCCAUACCGCCAAGCGGUAAGCCAACGCGGGGAACUGAAACAUCUAAGUACCCGCAGGAAAAGAAAAUAACAAUGAUUCCGCCAGUAGUGGCGAGCGAACGCGGAACAGCCCAAACCACUCGUGUUACGGCACGAGUGGGGUAGAAGGAUCCACGAUACGGCAAGAAAUAAGUUAGCAGAAUACGAUGGAAAUCGUAGCCAAAGACGGUGACAGCCCAGUACGCGAAAACCGACAGAAGCCCAGUGGACACCUGAGUAACCCAGGACACGAGAAAUCCGGGGCGAAUCAGCGGGGCCCAUCCCGUAAGGCUAAAUACUCCCGAGAGACCGAUAGCGAACCAGUACUGUGAAGGAAAGGUGAAAAGCACUUCGAAUAGAAGAGUGAAAUAGUCCCUGAAACCGUGCGCCUACAAGCGGUCGGAGCUGCUUCAGCAGUGACGGCGUGCCUUUUGCAUAAUGAACCUACGAGUUACUUUUUCCGGCAAGGUUAAGGGUCUUGAGACCUGCAGCCGAAGCGAAAGCGAGUCUUAACAGGGCGUUCAGUCGGAAGGAGUAGACGCGAAACCAAGUGAUCUACCCUUGGGCAGGUUGAAGGAUGGGUAACACCAUCUGGAGGACCGAACCAAUAAGCGUUGAAAAGCUUCUGGAUGACCUGAGGGUGGGGGUGAAAGGCUAAUCAAACUUGGAGAUAGCUCGUACUCCCCGAAAUGCAUUUAGGUGCAGCCUUGCGGGUUACUGAUGUGAGGUAGAGCGACUGAUAAGAUGCGAGGGCUUCACCGCCUAUCAAGUCUUGACAAACUCCGAAUGCGCAUCAGUUUUACCUCAGGAGUGAGGGCAUGGGUGCUAAGGUCCGUGCCCGAGAGGAGAAGAAUCCGGACCACCUGCUAAGGUCCCGAAAUGACAGCUAAGUUAAACUAACGAAGUCUGACUGCUAAGACAGCUAGGAUGUUGGCUUGGAAGCAGCCAUUCAUUUAAAGAGUGCGUAACAGCUCACUAGUCGAGGAGUUUGGCGUGGAUAAUAAUCGGGCAUCAAGUAUUCUACCGAAGCUUUGGGAUGUGUAAACAUCGGUAGGGGAGCAUUCCACUCGGCGUUGAAGGUGAGGCGUGAGCCUUGCUGGAGCGUGUGGAAAAGCAAAUGUAGGUAUAAGUAACGAUAAAGGGGGUGGGAAACCCCCUCGCCGAAAGACUAAGGUUUCCUGAUCAACGCUAAUCGGAUCAGGGUAAGUCGGGUCCUAAGGCUCAGCCGAACGGCGAGGCCGAUGGCAGAACCGGUUAAUAUUCCGGUACUACCUCAAGGAGUGACGUGGAGACGGAGCAGUGACAGUGCCGCGGACUGACGGAAUAGUCCGUUAAAGGGUGUAGAUGUUGAUUCCUGCAGGCAAAUCCGCAGGAAGAGUCGAACCUGAUAGUAUGGAGCGUCCUUCGGGACAAUCCAAUAGUGCACGUAAGCAUACUCCCGAGAAAAUCCGCUAAACUUAAUCCUUGUGGUACCCGUACCGCAAACGGACACACGUAGUCGGGUUGAAUAUACUAAGGCGCUUGAGUGAUUCACGGUUAAGGAACUAGGCAAACUGACCCUGUAACUUCGGGAUAAAGGGUCCUCGCUUUACGGCGAGGCGCAGAGAAUAGGUCCAGGCAACUGUUUAACAAAAACACAGGGCUGUGCAAAAUUUCAAGAUGAAGUAUACAGCCUGACACCUGCCCGGUGCCGGAAGGUUAAGAGGAGAGCUUAUCGCAAGAGAAGGCUUGAAUUGAAGCCCCGGUAAACGGCGGCCGUAACUAUAACGGUCCUAAGGUAGCGAAAUUCCUUGUCGGGUAAGUUCCGACCUGCACGAAUGGUGUAAUGAUCUGGACACUGUCUCAACCGUGAGCUCGGUGAAAUUGUAGUAUCGGUGAAGAUGCCGAUUACCCGCGAUGGGACGAAAAGACCCCGUGAACCUUUACUAUAGCUUAACAUUGAAUUUGGGUAAUUGAUGUGUAGGAUAGGCCGGAGGCUUCGAAGCAGGUACGCCAGUAUUUGUGGAGCCGCUGUUGAAAUACGGCCCUUUGAUUAUUUGAGUUCUAACCCGCGGCUGCGGGGACACUGUUUGGUGGGUAGUUUGACUGGGGUGGUCGCCUCCAAAAGCGUAACGGAGGCUUCUA